UGGGGAAUUUUGGACAAUGGGCGCAAGCCUGAUCCAGCCAUGCCGCGUGCGGGAAGAAGGCCUUCGGGUUGUAAACCGCUUUUGUCAGGGAAGAAAUCUUCUGAGUUAAUACCUCGGGAGGAUGACGGUACCUGAAGAAUAAGCACCGGCUAACUACGUGCCAGCAGCCGCGGUAAUACGUAGGGUGCAAGCGUUAAUCGGAAUUACUGGGCGUAAAGCGUGCGCAGGCGGUUUUGUAAGACAGAGGUGAAAUCCCCGGGCUCAACCUGGGAACUGCCUUUGUGACUGCAAGGCUUGAGUGCGGCAGAGGGGGGAUGGAAUUCCGCGUGUAGCAGUGAAAUGCGUAGAUAUGCGGAGGAACACCGAUGGCGAAGGCAAUCCCCUGGGCCUGCACUGACGCUCAUGCACGAAAGCGUGGGGAGCAAACAGGAUUAGAUACCCUGGUAGUCCACGCCCUAAACGAUGUCAACUGGCUUGUUGGG
rnacentral:rRNA from 1 species